AUUGAACGCUGGCGGCAUGCCUUACACAUGCAAGUCGAACGGCAGCACGGGAGCAAUCCUGGUGGCGAGUGGCGAACGGGUGAGUAAUACAUCGGAACGUGCCCAGUUGUGGGGGAUAGCCCGGCGAAAGCCGGAUUAAUACCGCAUACGACCUACGGGUGAAAGCGGGGGACCGCAAGACCUCGCGCUAUUGGAGCGGCCGAUGUCGGAUUAGCUAGUUGGUGGGGUAAAAGCCUACCAAGGCUACGAUCCGUAGCUGGUCUGAGAGGACGACCAGCCACACUGGGACUGAGACACGGCCCAGACUCCUACGGGAGGCAGCAGUGGGGAAUUUUGGACAAUGGGCGCAAGCCUGAUCCAGCCAUGCCGCGUGCGGGAAGAAGGCCUUCGGGUUGUAAACCGCUUUUGUCAGGGAAGAAACGGUUUGGGCUAUACCCCGAACUAAUGACGGUACCUGAAGAAUAAGCACCGGCUAACUACGUGCCAGCCGCCGCGGUAA
rnacentral:rRNA from 1 species